rnacentral:rRNA from 1 species
CCCUUAGAUGUUCUGGGCCGCACGCGCGCUACACUGAACGGUUCAAUGGGUAAGGUAGUGCGAAAGCAUGACCUAAUCUCGAAAUCCGUUCGUGCUGGGGAUAGAAGCUUGCAAUUAUCCUUCUUGAACGAGGAAUACCUUGUAAGCGUGAGUCAUCAUCUCACGCUGAAUACGUCCCUGCCCUUUGUACACACCGCCCGUCGCUCCUACCGAUUGAGUGUUCCGGUGAGGCUUUGGGAGAAUGGCCUCAACAUGAGUUUAUCGUGUUUUGCCGUUUGAACUUAGUCAAACCUUAUCACUUAGAGGAAGGAGAAGUCGUAACA